CAGGCUUAACACAUGCAAGUCGAGGGGCAGCAUGGUCUUAGCUUGCUAAGGCCGAUGGCGACCGGCGCACGGGUGAGUAACGCGUAUCCAACCUGCCUUACACUCUUGGACAGCCUUCUGAAAGGGAGAUUAAUACAAGAUGUUAUCAUGAGUAAGCAUUUUCGCAUGAUUAAAGGUUUACCGGUGUAAGAUGGGGAUGCGUUCCAUUAGAUAGUAGGCGGGGUAACGGCCCACCUAGUCUUCGAUGGAUAGGGGUUCUGAGAGGAAGGUCCCCCACAUUGGAACUGAGACACGGUCCAAACUCCUACGGGAGGCAGCAGUGAGGAAUAUUGGUCAAUGGACGAGAGUCUGAACCAGCCAAGUAGCGUGAAGGAUGAAGGUUCUAUGGAUUGUAAACUUCUUUUAUACGGGAAUAAACGAAUCCACGUGUGGAUUUUUGCAUGUACCGUAUGAAUAAGGAUCGGCUAACUCCGUGCCAGCAGCCGCGGUAAUACGGAGGAUCCGAGCGUUAUCCGGAUUUAUUGGGUUUAAAGGGAGCGUAGAUGGGUUGUUAAGUCAGUUGUGAAAGUUUGCGGCUCAACCGUAAAAUUGCAAUUGAUACUGGCAGUCUUGAGUACAGUUGAGGUAGGCGGAAUUCGUGGUGUAGCGGUGAAAUGCUUAGAUAUCACGAAGAACUCCGAUUGCGAAGGCAGCUUACUAACCUGUAACUGACAUUGAUGCUCGAAAGUGUGGGUAUCAAACAGGAUUAGAUACCCUGGUAGUCCACACGGUAAACGAUGAAUACUCGCUGUAGGCGAUAUACAGUCUGCGGCCAAGCGAAAGCAUUAAGUAUUCCACCUGGGGAGUACGCCGGCAACGGUGAAACUCAAAGGAAUUGACGGGGGCCCGCACAAGCGGAGGAACAUGUGGUUUAAUUCGAUGAUACGCGAGGAACCUUACCCGGGCUUAAAUUGCAACCGAAUAUGGCGGAAACGCUAUAGCUAGCAAUAGCGGUUGUGAAGGUGCUGCAUGGUUGUCGUCAGCUCGUGCCGUGAGGUGUCGGCUUAAGUGCCAUAACGAGCGCAACCCUUGCCGAUAGUUACUAACAGGUCAUGCUGAGGACUCUGUCGGGACUGCCAUCGUAAGAUGUGAGGAAGGUGGGGAUGACGUCAAAUCAGCACGGCCCUUACGUCCGGGGCUACACACGUGUUACAAUGGGGGGUACAGAGGGCUGCUACCACGCAAGUGGAUGCCAAUCCCAAAAACCUCUCUCAGUUCGGAUUGAAGUCUGCAACCCGACUUCAUGAAGCUGGAUUCGCUAGUAAUCGCGCAUCAGCCACGGCGCGGUGAAUACGUUCCCGGGCCUUGUACACACCGCCCGUCAAGCCAUGGGAGCCGGGGGUACCUGAAGUGCGUAACCGCAAGGAGCGCCCUAGGGUAAAACUGGUGACUGG
rnacentral:rRNA from 1 species